rnacentral:rRNA from 1 species
GGCUUAGAAGCAGCCAUCCUUGAAAGAGUGCGUAAUAGCUCACUGGUCAAGUGGUGAUGCGCCGACAAUGUAGCGGGGCUUAAGCACACCGCCGAAACUGUGGCGCCUUUCCGUGGAGGAAAGGUGGGUAGGGGAGCGUCCUGCGUGGGGUGAAGCUUGCGCGUGAGCGGGGGUGGACUGCGUGGGAGUGAGAAUGCAGGCAUGAGUAACGAAUGACGGGUGAGAAUCCCGUCCGCCGAUUGACUAAGGGUUCCAGGGCCAGGUUGAUCCGCCCUGGGUUAGUCGGGUCCUAAGGCGAGGCCGUCAGGCGUAGUCGAUGGGCAACGGGUUGACAUUCCCGUACCGGACGGCGGCCGUCCGAUGUCUGCUGGGUGGGGCGUUGUCGUCCCUGUGCGUUCUUUCCGCGCCUUUCGGGGUGUGGGGGGCGUGCGGGCGCGGGGCGUGCCUGUCUGGUGUGGCAAGCGUGGUAACAGGUGUGACGCAGUGAGGUAGCCCGUCCGUGUCUUAUGGCUUGGCACGGCCAAGGGUGUGGCCCGCCGCCGAGGCAAAUCCCGGCGGCUUGUGGGUGAGGCCUGAUGGGGACCGUUGAUGGGAAGCGGGUGAUCCUGUGCUGCCGAGAAAAGCAUCGACGCGAGGCCGUUGUCCGCCCGUACCCGAAACCGACACAGGUGGUCAGGUAGAGUAUACCGAGGCGUUCGAGUGACUCGUGGUCAAGGAACUCGGCAAAAUGCCCCCGUAACUUCGGGAGAAGGGGGGCCCUGAGCGUGAUCUGCCCGUGCGGUGGGGAGCGUGUAGGGGUCGCAGAGACCAGGGGGAAGCGACUGUUUAUCAAAAACACAGGUCCGUGCGAAGUCGUAAGACGAGGUAUACGGACUGACUCCUGCCCGGUGCUGGAAGGUUAAGAGGAUUGGUUAGCCCUGUGUGGGCGAAGCUGAGAAUUUAAGCCCCAGUAAACGGCGGUGGUAACUAUAACCAUCCUAAGGUAGCGAAAUUCCUUGUCGGGUAAGUUCCGACCUGCACGAAUGGCGUAACGACUUCUCCGCUGUCUCAACCAUGAACUCGGUGAAAUUGCAGUACGAGUAAAGAUGCUCGUUUCGCGCAGCAGGACGGAAAGACCCCGUGACCUUUACUAUAGUUUGGUAUUGGUGUUUGGGUUGGCUUGUGUAGGAUAGGUGGGAGACUGUGAAGCUGUCACGCUAGUGGUGGUGGAGUCGUUGUUGAAAUACCACUCUGGUCAAUCUGGAUGUCUAACUUCGGGCCAUGAUCUGGUUCAGGGACAGUGCCUGAUGGGUAGUUUAACUGGGGCGGUUGCCUCCUAAAGUGUAACGGAGGCGCCCAAAGGUUCCCUCAGCCUGGUUGGCAAUCAGGUGUUGAGUGUAAGUGCACAAGGGAGCUUGACUGUGAGAGUGGCGACUCGAGCAGGGACGAAAGUCGGGACUAGUGAUCCGGCAGUGGCUUGUGGAAGCGCUGUCGCUCAACGGAUAAAAGGUACCUCGGGGAUAACAGGCUGAUCUUGCCCAAGAGUCCAUAUCGACGGCAUGGUUUGGCA